rnacentral:rRNA from 1 species
UGUUGCUUGCAAGGGCGUAUGGUGGAUGCCUUGGCAGACAGGACCGAUGAAGGACGUUUGAGGCUGCGAUAUGCCUCGGGGAGCCGCCAACAGGGCUUUGAUCCGAGGAUUUCCGAAUGGGGGAACCCACCGACCGUCAUGGGUCGGUACCGGCUUCGGCCGGGGGGUACGCAGGGAAGUGAAACAUCUCAGUACCUGCAGGAAAGGAUAUUCCGUGAGUAGUGGCGAGCGAAAGCGGAUGAUGGCCAAACCUUGCGCGUGUGAUACCCGUCGGGGGUUGCGCGCGGGGUGUUGCGGGAUCGCGUGCGCCGGCUCCGACGGGCCGGCCGGCAGUUGCAGAAAACCAUGUGUCAGGGGAACCGGGUUGAAUACCGGGCCGCAGAGGGUGAGGGCCCCGUACCUGAACGCGCAUGGUCUGCCGAUCGCGUCUCCCAAGUAGCACGGGUCCCGUGGAACCCCGUGCGAAUCCGCCCAGACCGUUGGGUAAGCCUGAAUAUUCCUGUCUGACCGAUAGCGAACGAGUACCGUGAGGGAAAGGUGAAAAGUACCCCGGGAGGGGAGUGAAACAGUCUCUGAAACCGUGCGCCUACAAUCCGUCGGAGCCCUUUUGUGGGGUGACGGCGUGCCUAUCGAAAAAUGAGUCUGCGAGUCAGUGGCAUGUGGCGAGCAUAACCCGUGUGGGGUAUGCGUAGCGAAGGCGAGUCUUAAAAGGCGUUUGAGUCGCGUGUCCUGGACCCGAAGCGGGAUGAUCUAGCCCUGAGCAGGUUGAAGCGCGGGUAAGACCGCGUGGAGGACCGAACCCACCUGGGUUGAAAACCGGGGGGAUGACUUGGGGCUAGGGGUGAAAGGCCAAUCAAAUUCCGUGAUAGCUGGUUCUCUCCGAAAUGCAUUUGGGUGCAGCGUCGGGUCAUUACGUCCCGGGGGUAGAGCUACUGGAUGCUUGCGGGCCCGUAUCGGGUACCAACAGCAACCAAACUCCGAAUACCGGUGACGCGUAUCCCGGCAGUGAGUCGGCGGGGGAUAAGCUUCGUCGUCGAAAGGGAAACAGCCCAGACCGUCGUCUAAGGUCCCGAAGCGUGUGCUAAGUGGGAAAGGAUGUGGAGUCGCAUAGACAGCCAGGAGGUUGGCUCAGAAGCAGCCACCCUUGAAAGAGUGCGUAACAGCUCACUGGUCUAGUGGUUCCGCGCCGACAAUGUAGCGGGGCUCAAGCACACCACCGAAGACGCGGCAGUAUUUUGUACUGGGUAGGAGAGCGUCCCAUGAGGGGCGAAGCGGCCGUGUGAACGCGCCGUGGACUUCAUGGGAGUGAGAAUGCAGACAUGAGUAGCGAGAGACGGGUGAAGAUCCCGUCCGCUGGAUGACCAAGGGUUCCAGGGCCACGUUCAUCGUCCCUGGGUGAGUCGGGUCCUAAGGCGAGGCCGACAGGCGUAGUCGAAUGGAUGAACGGGUCGAUAUUCCCGUACCGGCUUUCAGCCGCCAAAACCGAGGCUUGGAGUACUAACCUCCGGGUCCGGGCUUACUGCUCCUUCGGGGGCGGGAUGCCCUGGCCUGUUGGGACCGAUCCUUGUAGUAGGUCAGCGCAGGAGUGACGCAGAAGGGUAGCCGGCCGCGGAGGUGGUCUUCCGUGGUCAAGCACGCAGGGCGUGGGACAGGCAAAUCCGUCCCGCAUGGGUCCGAGGUGCGAUGAUGGGGGCCUUAUGGCCCGAUAUCCGGUGAUCCCGGCUGCCGAGAAAAGCUUCGGCGUCAGGCUCGAAGCCGCCCGUACCCCAAACCGACACUGGUGGUCAGGUAGAGAAUACCAAAGCGAUCGAGCGAAUCCUGGUCAAGGAACUCGGCAAAUCACUCCCGUUCCUUCGGUUUAAGGGAGACCCCCGAUGGUGAACACACUUGCUGUGGGAGCUUUUGGGGGUGGCACAGACCAGGGGGUAGCGACUGUUUACCAAAAACACAGGUGCAUGCGAAGGCGCAAGCCGCUGUAUAUGCACUGACGCCUGCCCGGUGCCGGAAGGUUAAGAGGAUCCGUCAGCCUUCGGGUGAAGCGGUGAAUUCAAGCCCCGGUAAACGGCGGUGGUAACUAUAACCAUCCUAAGGUAGCGAAAUUCCUUGUCGGGUAAGUUCCGACCUGCACGAAUGGCGUAACGACUUCCCCACUGUCUCGACCAGGAGCUCGGCGAAAUUGCAGUACGAGUAAAGAUGCUCGUUAAGCGCAGAAGGACGAAAAGACCCCGGGACCUUUACUAUACCUUGGUAUUGGCGUUAGGCGCGGAUUGUGUAGCAUAGGCGGGAGGCUUCGAAGCGUGGGCGCCAGCUCAUGUGGAGCCGCAAGGUGAAAUAC